rnacentral:rRNA from 1 species
CAGUCGCCGCGGGAAUACAGAGGAUGCAAGCGUUAUUCGGAAUGAUUGGGCGUAAAGCGUCUGCAGGUGGCUUUUCAAGUCCGCCGUCAAAUCCCAGGGCUCAACCCUGGACAGGCGGUGGAAACUACCAAGCUGGAGUACGGUAGGGGCAGAGGGAAUUUCCGGUGUAGCGGUGAAAUGCGUAGAUAUCGGAAGGAACACCUGUGGCGAAAGCGGCUCACUGGACCAUUACUGACGCUGAUGCACGAAAGCUAGGGGAGCAAACAGGAUUAGAUACCCCUGUAGUCCCUGUCUCUUAUAC